GUUUCAUAAGACAAACUCUAAUCAACAAAACAUUAUGAUCUAAUAUUAUAGAUUAAACUUUAUGACCCCAGAGGCGAAAAUUCACAAAAUACAAUGAAAGAGGAACUAUAUAAAGUAGUAAAAUCACCUUUAUUAAAGUUAUGAACACAUUAAUGGGUCGAUAAACAUAAUCCAAUUAUAUAUUCUGAUAUAUGCUAUUCUGCAUAAUGAGUACUUUUGGUAUUUUGAGUGAUACUCAUGUGUUUGCACUACUUUUACAUGAGUAUACAAGAAGCGAGUGCUCCCUCCACCUCCAGAUGAGAACUGCAUGAUGGCUAAACUCAGGUAGCCUACACCUGACCUUGUAUAUGGCUGUCACAGUUCAGAAAUGAAAGGAUAAGUGAUUUUAUUCAAUUCAUCACCACAUGCCUUUCAAACGUCAGGACUGAGAGAGAGAGAAAAAAAAGAAAAAACAAAACAACAAGCCUGGGACCAAACAGCCAAAACUCUUCCCAUACAGCCCACGCACAAGCAAGGAGUCACAAGUCAUUUUUGAAGUUUCCCUAAAGUUUCUUUUGCCCCUCGGAGACUCAAAGACAUUCCUCAGUCGCAGCGAAGGUCACAAGCCUAUUAGUUUGGGUUCAGGAGAUAAGGUUUAGAAAACAAAGCGGAGCUGCCAGCCUGCACAAGUGCGCCCUGCAGCCCCGGCGUCGGACUGUCUGCGCUCCGGUCAACUUGUUGAUCCACUGCCCUGCAGCUGCACUAAGGUCUCUGAGUAAAUAUUGUGCUGAUUUGAAAUAAUUUACCCGGUUUCUCCCUAUGCCAAAACUAUUUCAUGACAGUAAACGCCAACUUUUUUUGUGUGAUCUGGCUUUAAGUUUGAAUAAAGCUUCCCUUACAAUGACGUUUAGUCCAACAAGGUUAAACGCCAAAACGCAGCAGACUUUCCGUAUAGGAAACUUCACCGACUGUUAGAGGAACCGCGACGAGCCGAGCCGUGCGGGCUAAAAGCACCCUGAAAAGUGCGAUUAAAUGAACUCCGAGUCCUUCGAAGAAAACAGCAGCCGAGGAACACGAUUCUGCUCUCCACCGUCCCGGGCUGAUGGAGGGUCCGGCACUCUGCUCUUCUUCUCUGAGCUGCCACGCGCCUGUCGCGUGCAGGAGUGUACACAUCCAAUAGUGGCGCGGGGACUCUUGUAGCAGCGUCAACCCGGUGGGGCGUGGUCUAAACACCCCCGAACAGCAGCGAUGCGGUGGGUGGGUGGGUGCGUGAGGGUGGGGGCGCAGAGCUGCAGCUGAAACACCGUUAGUACCGAGCAAAUCUGGCAAGUACUUUAUGUUACGUUCAAAGACUUGUGCUACAACAAAAAUACUUUCAUGUUAUGUUGUUCAGUCAGUUAGUUUUGUGACGAAUCAGGUUAUCAUAAUCAGUAAAAAACAUAUACACAUACAAUAACUUUCCAUUUGAGGAUUCCUUGUUUCAUCUGACCAAUGCUCCAAAGCCCAAAGCUGUUUCUUUCCUGUCAUGUAUGACAAACUAAAGUGGCAAAUCCCCGCGUUUGAGAAGCUGUAACCAGAGAAUUUUGGCAUGUUUGCUUUCACAGAGAACUGACUGUCAACAUCAGACAAAACAAGAUUGUAAAAGUUUACCAGUCAGUCAGCACUCAUAACUUCGUUCGUAUGAAAUAAUAAAGUCCAGAUUUCUGAGUAAUCUGAGUGUAACUGGGCACAUCUAAAGCUCUGCCUGAAACAAUGGCAAUUUAAUCAUGAGCUCAUCUGCUGGGAAUGCAAUUUCUUCUUCUUCUUCUUGAAAUAAAAACUACUGCAUCAAGGUA